rnacentral:rRNA from 1 species
NNGUGANAGGGAANNAAAGUGGGGGGGAANNGAGANNGAGGGAGGAAGGGAGGGGAAGGAUUAAUGCAAGGAGAGAAGUGAGAGCGAGAAGGAAGGAGAAGUAGGGAAAAGAGGGGCAGUGUUGGAAGAGUAAAAAUAGGGGUGGAAAGGAGUAGGGAAGGGAAGGAAGGAGGGAGGAGGAUGAGUGGGAUAAUGAGGGGGGGUGAGGAGGAGAAAAAAUAGAGAGGAACGGUAUGGGAAGGUUUAGGGGGAGGGGAGACGGUGAU